rnacentral:rRNA from 1 species
AGCAGCCGCGGUAAUUCCAGCUCCAAUAGCGUAUAUUAAAGUUGUUGCAGUUAAAAAGCUCGUAGUUGAAUUUCGGGGUUAGCAGGUCGGUCGUGCCAUCGGUAUGAACUGGUCUCGCUGAUCCCUCCCUCUUGACGAACUGUGAUGCCAUUAAUUUGGUGUCGCAGGGAAUCAGGACUGUUACUUUGAAAAAAGUUAGAGUGUUUAAAGCAGGCUCACGCUUGAAUACAUUAGCAUGGAAUAAUGAAAUAGGACGUUUGAUCCUAUUUUGUUGGCUUCUAGGAUUGACGUAAUGAUUAAUAGGGAUAGUUGGGGGCAUUAGUAUUCAAUUGUCAGAGGUGAAAUUCUUGGAUUUAUUGAAGACUAACUACUGCGAAAGCAUUUGCCAAGGAUGUUUUCAUUAAUCAAGAACGAAAGUUAGGGGAUCGAAGACGAUCAGAUACCGUCGUAGUCUUAACCAUAAACUAUGCCGACUAGGGAUCGGAUGAUGUUAAUUUUUUCAAUGACUCAUUCGGCGCCU